UUAGCGGCGCUCUUAAGCGCCACUAAAAGUAUUAGCGGCGCUUUC
rfam:Gossypium raimondii chromosome 7, whole genome shotgun sequence.